rnacentral:rRNA from 1 species
UACGGAGGGUGCAAGCGUUAUCCGGAUUUACUGGGUUUAAAGGGUGCGUAGGCGGCUCUUUAAGUCAGUGGUGAAAGCCUGGCGCUCAACGCCAGAAAUGCCAUUGAUACUGUAGAGCUUGAGUCAAGAAGAGGUAAGCAGAAUUCAUGGUGUAGCGGUGAAAUGCAUAGAUAUCAUGAGGAAUUCCAACAGCGAAGGCAGCUUACUGGUCUUUGACUGACGCUGAGGCACGAAAGCGUGGGGAGCAAACAGG